AAUAGAUACCCGGGUAGUCCACGCCGUAAACGAUGAGUGCUAAGUGUUAGGGGGUUUCCGCCCCUUAGUGCUGCAGCUAACGCAUUAAGCACUCCGCCUGGGGAGUACGGUCGCAAGACUGAAACUCAAAGGAAUUGACGGGGGCCCGCACAAGCGGUGGAGCAUGUGGUUUAAUUCGAAGCAACGCGAAGAACCUUACCAGGUCUUGACAUCCCGUUGACCACUGUAGAGAUAUAGUUUCCCCUUCGGGGGCAACGGUGACAGGUGGCGCAUGGUUGUCGUCAGCUCGUGUCGUGAGAUGUUGGGUUAAGUCCCGCAACGAGCGCAACCCUUGAUCUUAGUUGCCAUCAUUUAGUUGGGCACUCUAAGGUGACUGCCGGUGACAAACCGGGAGGAAGGUGGGGAUGACGUCAAAUCAUCAUGCCCCUUAUGACCUGGGCUACACACGUGCUACAAUGGAUGGUACAAAGGGCUGCAAGACCGCGAGGUCAAGCCAAUCCCAUAAAACCAUUCUCAGUUCGGAUUGUAGG
rnacentral:rRNA from 1 species